rnacentral:lncRNA from 10 species
UUAAGAUGGAGUUUUGCUCUAUCACCCAGGCUGAGACAGAAUUGCUUGAACCUGGGAGGCACAGGUCACAGUGAGCCAAUAUUGUGCCAUUGCACGCCAGCCUGGGCAACAAGAGCUAAACUGUCUAAAAAACAAAAACUGGAGGGUACUACUCACUGCUUCCUCCGACAGCUCGAUGUUUUUAGGGGUCCCAGGAAGGGCAGAAAAACUUAACCAGAAAGUCGGAAUUCCCAAUUUGAGGGUCUCAGUAAGAAUCUCUUGUGCCUUCUGUGCAGUGUUCUUUACCCAUUUCCUAAGGAACAAACAGCUUAUGGUUUACUACCUUGUGGGUUUCAUUGCCAUUUCCAUUAGCCAGGAUAUAGAGGACAUGACUAGAACAGUGUGUUAAGGAGAGAAGUACCUGGAAAAUCUUUUCAAAGGUGAUAGUUGGUUCUGUGCCUCUCCAGUUAGUCAAGGUAGGUCUGAAAAAGAAGUUGGACCAGCUACUUAAAUUCUCUCCCCCACUUCUUUCCCACUUUGGCAGAUGCUGAGGGUUGGAAAAGCAAAAGCAGAUGUGUGGCCCAAAACUGCUCCAAAGAAAGCUUAGUUCCUCCUGCCCCUGUGGACAGCGACGGGGAGAGUGAUAAUUCAGACCGUGUUCCUGUGCCCAGUUUUCAAAAUUCCUUCAGCCAAGCUAUUGAAGCAGCCUUCAUGAAACUGGACACACCAGCUACUUCAGAUCCCCUCUCUGAAGAGAAAGGAGGAAAGAAAAGAAAAAAACAGAAACAGAAGCUCCUGUUCAGCACCUCAGUCGUCCACACCAAGUGACACUACUGGCCCAGGCUACCUUCUCCAUCUGGUUUUUGUUUUUGUUUUUUUUUCCCCCAUGCUUUUGUUUGGCUGCUGUAAUUUUUAAGUAUUUGAGUUUGAACAGAUUAGCUCUGGGGGGAGGGGGUUUCCACAAUGUGAGGGGGAACCAAGAAAAUUUUAAAUACAGUGUAUUUUCCAGCUUCCUGUCUUUACACCAAAAUAAAGUAUUGACACAAGAGAUCUCUUCCUGCCAAGGUUUUUAGUUCAUUGCCAGUUUAGUCUUUUUGACCCAUGUGUAAUUAAUUUUUCUCAACCCAAAGUAAGAUUGAGUCCCCUUUGAGAUGCAUUAGAGCAGUCCAACCCAGAAUGGCACACACUGCUCUGCUGUAGCAUCAUGUCAGGGCUUCCUGGACUCAGUACACCUCUCAGUUUGUCUUUUAAAAAACAGCUGAAUCUUUACUACCUAUUUAGUUCUCCUUGUUAAAGAAACAGGGGUGGGAAUAAAAUGGAUUUAGGACACCCAGUUUGAAUUGCAGUUUUUUUUUUUCUGACACAUGGCCAGGCUGUGGUGCCAGCUUAAUGGAGUAGGCUGUCCUUGG